GACCCCGCAGCGUCGUGGCUAGAGUAGGGUCUGGAGAGAGCUCCCACUGUGGCGAGUCCUGUCGUUGGAUUCCCGCGGCGCCCCGUAAGGCUCCGCCCCGGCGGUGCUACCAAACCCUGUUCGAUUUUAGAAUCGUACAUUCCCAGAGGGAAUCCUAGACCCCUCAUUUUACAGUUGAGGAAACAGGCCCAAGUAGCAUGACUUGUUCGCGCCGCUAGUCGAAGGAGCAGCAGCCCCGAUCCCUUGACUCUGGGGCACUGCUUUCCCUUUAGCUCAUUUUUGGAGGAAAUGGGUGCGCCCUUGCUCGACCUUUGGUGAUUGCCGCCACAGGCCUUCCCGCCGGCUAACUCAGCGUGCCCAAGUCCCGUGACUUAGUGCCAGGACGGUGCUGUGACCCGUUAUCCCCUGUCGGGUUUUACCUCCCCCCGGGAGAGCUCAGCCCUGGAUCCCGGCGGGCGGCGGAGCCUCUCUGGAGCCCGGACGGGACAGCCCACCAGGGUCUGCUUCUGUGAGGGGCCGAGGCGUCAUUCCGCGAAGGAAGCUGCUGGAAGGUACACAUCUUGGGAGUUUGCCCUUUGAAGCUCACCUGUGGACCUUUUUUCCUUUCGAAAAGAAGCAUAAGCUGCAAUAAAAAUUUGGUUUCAAGAUAACAAAGUCAGUCCCCAAAAAUCAGUAUUGAGAGUCACUGACAUUAAAUGAUGAAGAUACGAGGAUGGUGUGGGGACCUUUACUCUUCGAAGAUGAGCUAUACAUGCCCCUGAAAAGGCUGUCUGAAGACAGGGGAAGGCUGGAGAUGGCAACUUUGGCCUCUGCCAAGUACUCGUGCUAUUUUCUGUAUGUGAUACUAUCUGUUUUGUAACUCAGAGGCAACACCACAUACCUAGCAUAAGGCUUGAACUCCCUUUGGGGUUAUCAAUUACUUACAUAGCCUUCCUCUAAGGGAAGGCUUGCAAGUGGUUCAUAUUCGACCCUUCCAUGUGAUAAGCAUUCAUGUGGGCUUCACAAUGUAACAGAGGUACACAGAGAUUCUUGUAAACAGAAAAUUUUAUAAAACUGUUAACUGAUCUCACUUUGAAGAAGUCUUACUGACUAGAUGUCAUUUAUCAGAGUAGACAGGCUUAAAAUGCAUUGCUUGUACUAGACUGUUGUAAUGCAUUUUUUUGUUUUUGCAUUGGUUUUUAAUUCAUUUAAUUGGUUUACACUCAUUUUUUUUUUUACAUUCCAUUUUUGCAUUUGUAUGCCAGUUAAAAAUUAUGAAAUGGCACAUUGUGGGAUUUUGUUUAGCUAAAUUCUAGAAAAAUUGAAAGAUACCUUUUAUUCGACUUAAGCCUGAGGUUAUUCAGCACGGUGAUCUCUGCAUUUUUGAAAGGUUGUCUCGUCGUUUAAUAAACGUAAAUAACUUAAGCACAUUGGAAGAGCUAUUAAAUGAGAGCAGGAGAUUAAAAAGACAUGAUUUCUUACUUUAUCCACCUGACAGGAUAGCUUGCAUUGGUGAUUAACCUUGCAUUGUUAAAUUCAUUUCCUAAAUAUUUAGGUAAGUAGUUGGUUUGAUCAUUAUUUGUAAAGUAUUAGUAGUUGCAUGUUGAAUUAUCAUGUUAAGAUUUUUAGUUUGUUGUUCAUGUGAUAUGAAAGAUAACAAUUCCUAAAACUGAAUGCAUGCAUGGCUUAUUCAGCUCAGGUCACAUACAAAGAGAAAUGUGACGCUGCAAUAAACAUAGCAGAGCUAUCUGGGUUUGAAGCAAAAAGGCUAUGACGUUAGGUAUAUGCACUUUACAUUGUAUGUAUCUUUUUAGUUCUAGUGAACUCAUCUGGAAUCAUGUUACAGAAAAUGAUUCUCCAGGUCCAAACACAUUUAAGUUUAAUGACUGGGACUACUCUAACAAUUGCGGCUAUCUCAUUUUGUCUCAUUGGUUCAUUAGCAUAGCACCCAUUUAAGAACAACUACUUCUAAACACAGUAAUAUUUCAGAGGCUAUAAAAUAAUAGAGAAAGAAAACUUAAAAAAUCCUUUGUUUGCAGCCAAGAAAAUGUGAGGAUCAGAUUUGUACUUGUUUUGAACAAUUGGAAACUGUCACAAUUGUUUUUAAGAUGUAAUAAAUGUAUAUAAAAUAUGGGAUUCUAUAGUAU
rnacentral:lncRNA from 1 species